UACAGGUGAAGGUAUUGGCGCGUCUCAAUCUGAUACAGAGCUAAAUGGUAAAUUUAGAAUAGCCAUGUAAUUUGAUUGAGCCGCGUCAAUAUCUCCUUAAAUUUG
rnacentral:pre_miRNA from 9 species